UAAUAAUGAUGAUUUUUAAAGGCGAAUUUGAGCAGCUCUGGUGCAGCGAGUUAAUGUUGCCCAGGGCAGGCAUGAAAUCCAUUUAAAAACCAACUGAAUUA
ensembl:snoRNA scaRNA:MeU5-G38 small Cajal body-specific RNA : MeU5-G38